GCCAGAUUAGAUCAAGCCAAUACUGUUAGUGGGAUGGUCUAAUUGAUACUUUAUCAAAUGCCAUAAAAGAAAAGUAAAAACACACGCGAUGUAGAGAGUGGAGAAGAAUAAUUUGGGGAAUUCCCUACAGUAGAAGAUGGUCAGCCAUUUUGGAGGAAGCACAUUUCGCAACACCUGCCAGUUGUGGACACUUGUUCAGUAAAAAGGGAGUGCUUAAAUAAUGCUGGCUACACCCACUAACACAGAUGAUGUCCUUCAGAACAAAAAAGAUGAAGUUUUGCACAUACUUUGUGUAAAUCUCCUUUCACAAAAUCCUGAAUGUGUCUGAAGCUGCUUGUUGUCAAUUAUUGAAAUUAAACUGAAUAUUCAACAAAUCACUACAAGCGAAAAUGCUUACGAAAUGGAUAUAUAUCAUGGAUUUGAAGAGAAAGAAAUACGUACUGAUCAACAGGUGCCAGCUGUGCUAAAACCGACCUUUCUUUCGAUGUUUGGUUGUAUGAGGUGGAAUGUCUUCUAAGGGACAAAAAGCAUUCUACCGAUGACGUGUCAUUGCUCAAGCAGUUCGUCGUUCCUUAAAGGGCGAUGCAGCGAGAGUUGCAUUGCGUCUGGGUUCAGACGCUAGCCUUAAUCAGCUGAUCCACAAACUCAAAAGUAUAUAUGGUUCUGUUGAUGAGGGUGAGGCACUACUUGCUGACUUCUACAGUGCACAACAGCAGGAUGAUGAAACAGUUUUUUCUUGGGGUUGUCGGUCAGUGCACCACGACUGGUAUAUCAAGGCCGUGGUAUGUGCUAUCCUGUGUGUGGAAUGUGCAUAUAACAGAUCCCUUACUACUAAUGGAAAAAUGUAGCGGGUUUCCUCUACGACUGUGUC